rnacentral:lncRNA from 1 species
GGGGGUAACUGUUUUCGUUUUUGAGAUACGAGCUGUUGAAGUUAACAGCAUCAUACACCAAAAUUACAAAGGAUAUAUAGGGAAAAUCGUGACAUUUCCAAGAUUUUCUAUUAUAUUUGACAAUCGAUUUUUUUUUUAAAUUAUAAGACGAUUCUAAAAUGUCUGAGGAAUCGAUUGGUGCAAAGAAAGUCCUUAGCAACCGUGCUACUUUUCAAGCUAUACUCUGUUAAAGUUGAAUCUUGAGUGUAAAAAAACAAAAAAACAACGACAACGUUAUUGACGUCCACGCAACAGUUACGACGCUUCAUAUAGUUCUAUACUUGUAUGAAAUAUAUACCGUUUUGUUGAGAGUUCGUGUUGCUCGGUCUUUAGUUCUUUAUCUUACGUUUUGCGUACUAUUGUAUUGUGUUUGUCUAUUAUAUUCGGGUGCGUGCGGAGAUCGCCAAGCUAGAAAACGGUUGACAUUUUCUUCAUUAUGAACUAGAACUAUUUUCGACCUUGUUGCCUUAUUUUUGUUAAAAUCUAAACACUGCGACGUGUUUUCAAAAUCUCUGUUCCCAUAAAUCUUCAUUUCAUCAAGGUCUCUUCUCAGAAUAUCAGCCAUCUGUCUGGCACAGGAUAACAAAUCAAUAUUUAAGUAAAUUUUAAGUUGUGUGGUAAUUCUUAGUACAUUUGGGUAAAUUAAUCUUAUCUAUGUGCCGCAUACGCAUCUCUAUAAUUCAACACAUCCCUGAGCCACGACAUUAUAUAUUUUAUGCAUUGCAUGCGCUUCUUUUUAUUACAAUCCAGACCGGCUAGUAACCGUUGUAUAACUUUACACGUCUGAAGACGAAUAUUUGCGUGAAACAUUUUUGUAUGAUUUUUAUUUCUGGAAAUCAAUCUGAAAUCUACAAAAGUCCUUUUCCGAAAGUCAGGCUGGACCUUUACUUUUAUGUGCAUUCGGGAUUUACACAAAUUGUAACCCGAAUAAUUCAGUCGUAUUAUUCAGAUGAUGUACGAAUGCUACAUUUCUCGUGUGGGAGAAAAUCGGACAUGGAAAGGGCUUGAAUUAUUCAAGUUACUCAAAUUGAAACUGGGGAAUAUAUUUCUAGCUGUUCGAAAUUCGCGAAAACAAAUGAUUGUUUUUCGGCAUUACGGUAUUGAAUCAAUAUGAGUCAGAGAUACCAAUUAUUUCUUUUAAUAAACUGGAAUACCAGUCAGUUUAUAGGACUUCAGUUUGAAUUAGGGGCGGCAAUCCAUUCAUUUUAUCCAAUCAAUUUGGGGGGGGGAGGGAUCCAGAUCCCGAAAUCCCGAGGUUUCGAAUUUAAAAAAAAUGAAAUCCCGACUACCCGAAAUUCGGAAAUAGAAUUCCUGGAUCCCGAAAGGGUCAAUCCCGAAAUCCCGAGCUUAAAAUCACCCGAUCCCGGAGUUCCGAUAAAGGUCCUAUCCCCCCCCUCGUAAUUCUAUAUUCUUUUCAUUCAUAAUCUUGAAUUGAGACUUGAUACUUACAUUCUCUAAUUUUGAAUGAUGCACACAGCCCACAAUAAAAGAAAACAGAUUUCGCUAAAUAUCUCUUUGAAAUUGGAAUUUGUGAAAGAAGAAAUGACAUGUUAUAUUUUAUUUUACAUGUGUACUUUCAAUUUCAAUAUGGUUCUAAAUUUAGAUUUAGUUUUCCCAUAAAUUGCGGACGGAAUAGAAGACACCUAUUUUCUGCACAUGUAGAAAAAGUUGAAAACUGGGAGUUGAAUGACACAAUUUUUACUUAUUUUAAGAUAAAUGUUAGAAUUAGACAACUUUUAAGUUACUGAGUAAUUUUUGGGGCCUAAUUUGUUUAUUUUUUGUUUGUUUUCCGUCUUUGUUCUUCCGACUUGUAAGUGUUACACUAGUGAUCAAAUUAUUCUCUUGGUAUGACUGAUAUCUUAUAUGAAUAUAAAUCAUGUCCUUAAAUUUUCAAUUGCACAAAAUACGAACAUUUCAACGUCUUUUUAAUAAAACAAUUAAAUUCACACGUCUUUCAUUAAUUAUUUGUAACCUAUUAUAAAACUUUA